rnacentral:rRNA from 1 species
UAGCGUUAUCCGGAUUUACUGGGCGUAAAGGGUGCGUAGGUGGUUUCUUAAGUCAGGAGUGAAAGGCUACGGCUCAACCGUAGUAAGCUCUUGAAACUGGGAAACUUGAGUGCAGGAGAGGAGAGUGGAAUUCCUAGUGUAGCGGUGAAAUGCGUGGAUAUUAGGAGGAACACCAGUAGCGAAGGCGGCUUUCUGGACUGUAACUGACACUGAGGCACGAAAGCAUGGGUAGC